UAGGGAAUCUUCGGCAAUGGACGAAAGUCUGACCGAGCAACGCCGCGUGAGUGAAGAAGGUUUUCGGAUCGUAAAACUCUGUUGUUAGAGAAGAAUAAGGAUGAGAGUAGAAUGUUCAUCCCUUGACGGUAUCUAACCAGAAAGCCACGGCUAACUACGUGCCAGCAGCCGCGGUAAUACGUAGGUGGCAAGCGUUGUCCGGAUUUAUUGGGCGUAAAGCGAGCGCAGGCGGUUUCUUAAGUCUGAUGUGAAAGCCCCCGGCUUAACCGGGGAGGGUCAUUGGAAACUGGGAGACUUGAGUGCAGAAGAGGAGAGUGGAAUUCCAUGUGUAGCGGUGAAAUGCGUAGAUAUAUGGAGGAACACCAGUGGCGAAGGCGACUCUCUGGUCUGUAACUGACGCUGAGGCUCGAAAGCGUGGGGAGCAAACAGG
rnacentral:rRNA from 1 species